AGGUAAUGUUGAUAAUCUGAAAAUAUCCUUAAAGUUGUUUCAAAACAAUUUCUAGUUGGGCAUGCGGUGCCAAAUGGUAGAAAUUGAAGGGGGAAACUAGUUUGCCUUAACAAUGCAAACAUAGCACUCAGGCUAUACCUAGUUUCCUUGACAAGUUGUCAUUAAGAAUAGUCUUUAAGGGACUUCCUUCAGACCUUUUAAAGCCCCUGACAGGAAUGCUAAUUUUAUGGAUGAAGCUUUUUCUUUUCUCCAGCUUGGUUGGCUCAACGCAAUUAGAGAAUGGCAAGAGGAGUUCGUUGGCAACAUGAGCUCUAGAGAAUUUGUACCAGAGAUCUCUUAUGCAGUCGUAUCUUCGUCUUUACCCCAAGGGGAGAGGUAUGAUAAUUCGUAAACCAUAAUUUGGGCUUUUGUUUCUGCUAAAAUAUUACCAUAAUUUUGUGGGAACUACUGCUCUGAUAAAUAUUUCUUGCGAUGGGAAGAUUAAAAUUUUGCCUAGAGGGGCUACUGUUAUUGAUUAUGCCUACAUGAUACACACCGACAUUGGAAACAAAAUGGUGGCGGCGAAGGUCGAUGGUAAUCUUGUUUCUCCCACGCAUGUGCUUGCCAAUGCAGAAGUUGCGGAGAUUAUCACCUAAAACGUUAGUACAUAUUGACCGUGGCUCAAUGUCCAUUUUACUGAGCUUAUAGUAGAACAUGCUUCUAUGAUAAUAUUUAAAUUGUGGGACAACUCGUAUUUCAUAUUCUCGAUGAUAAAUAGAUAAAUAUAUGUAUAUCUAUAUUUGUGUUUCUUUUUCUUUCAAAAAUUCGAAACUAGCAGUUAGAACACCGAACUCAGAGUAGAGUUAUAUGUCAUUAGACCUAAUAUUGAAGAGAUAUUUACUAUUUUGUCAGCUAUGACAGAGGAGAA